rnacentral:rRNA from 1 species
GCAAUCUACCUUUUACAGAGGGAUAGCCCAGAGAAAUUUGGAUUAAUACCUCAUAGUAUAAUGAUUUCGCAUCAAACCAUUAUUAAAGUCACAACGGUAAAAGAUGAGCAUGCGUCCCAUUAGCUAGUUGGUAAGGUAACGGCUUACCAAGGCUACGAUGGGUAGGGGUCCUGAGAGGGAGAUCC